GUGAAUCAUCGAAUUUUUGAACGCAAAUUGCGCUUCCUGGCAUCCCGGGAAGUAUACCUGUGUGAGGGUCAGUAUUAAUAAAAAACUGGGUGUUUACAAAUUGUGUCGUUUCCGGAGUGUGUGCUAUCUUAACAUUUUUUUUUAAGAGGCUUAAAAUUUUCCUUUUUUGCGCAUUUUUAUACGUACAUAUAUUUUUUUUAUUCUUCUAUUCUUAAUGCCAAAUUCUUAUUCGAUGCUGUCACAUCGUAUGGCGUCG
rnacentral:misc_RNA from 1 species